GAGCAAAGGCUGGGCUUUAGAUGCUAUCUAUUGGCUUGCCCGUUCCAAGUGGUGAGUUGUGCUGUGGAUUCUCUGCGAAGGCGGAGGCUUCCCGGUCCUUAGAUUGGAGGGGGCACCGCGUGAGGCUGGUUUCACAGAGCAUCGAAAACCUUGGAAGGAUAACGGGCCGGUGCAUCCUCUACCCACUAGCGCCUGACGGGUCGUUCAAAUUAAACCACCAU